GCAUGACAAAACUCAGGUCCCUACCCCCUUUCUAAAUUUCACUUCCUGUUAAAAACCAACACACUCAUUGCCUAACAGACACACGCCUUCACUGAUGCAUACACUGACAUACACUCACUGACAGAUACAAAGUCAUUGUCACACACACUGUUUAACCAACACACACUUUCACUGAAACAUACACACUCACUCACAUUCACCGACAGACACAUUAACUGACACACGCAUUCACUGACAGAUACACACACAUUCUCACUAACAGACAUACUAACACUCAUCAACAGACACACACACUAACACACUAAUCAACAGACACACUAACACACACAGUCUCACUAACACACUCACUAACAGAUACAGACACUCUCACUAACAG